UGCAAGUGAUGUUUUUUCUCACGAUGGUCUUCCAAACCUAAAGGGUUCUGACGAUAGUGCCUUUUUGGCUUAGCUGAUGCAGCUAU